AUUGAACGCUGGCGGCAGGCCUAACACAUGCAAGUCGAACGAGUGGCGGACGGGUGAGUAAUGUCUGGGAAACUGCCUGAUGGAGGGGGAUAACUACUGGAAACGGUAGCUAAUACCGCAUACCAUCGGAUGUGCCCAGAUGGGAUUAGCUGGUUGGUGGGGUAACGGCUCACCGAGGCGACGAUCCCUAGCUGGUCGGAGAGGAUGACCGGCCACACUGGAACUGAGAAACGGUCCAGACUCCUACGGGAGGCAGUAGUGGGGAAUAUUGCACAAUGGGCGCAAGCCUGAUGCAGCCAUGCCGCGUGUAUGAAGAAGGCCUUCGGGUUGUAAAGUACUUUCAGCGGGGAGGCGUUACCCGCAGAAGAAGCACCGGCUAACUCCGUGCCAGCAGCCGCGGUAAUUC
rnacentral:rRNA from 1 species